rnacentral:lncRNA from 1 species
AUUGGCCCUUCUAGUUAUCGAUAUAUUCUAAUGUGGUUCAAUUAUUCACUUAUCAACAAAUGAUAUUAGAUUUUUUUCCUCGAUAGAUGAAAAUGUCCCUUGUCCAUGGGGAGUUUGGAACUUGAAAGAGGAAAAGGAUAAGAAGGAGAAGUUGAUGAGGAGGAAAAGGAGGAGAGGAGAAGGGCCACCAACAAGGAAUGGAUUGGAAGAGGAGAAGGAUAAGAAGAAGAAGUAGAUAAGGAGAAAAGGAAGAAGGAGAGAAGGGCCACUGAUAAGGAAUGAUUUGGAGGAGAAUAAGGAGGACAAAAAGGAGAAGAAUACGGGGAGAAAGGGAAUACGGAAGGAUAGGUUACCGAUGAGAAGGAGCAG